rnacentral:rRNA from 1 species
GAUGAACGCUGGCGGCGUGCCUAAUACAUGCAAGUCGAGCGAAUGGAUUAAGAGCUUGCUCUUAUGAAGUUAGCGGCGGACGGGUGAGUAACACGUGGGUAACCUGCCCAUAUGACUGGGAUAAAUCCGGGAAACCGGGGCUAAUACCGGAUAACAUUUUGAACUGCAUGGUUCGAAAUAGAAAGGAGGUUUCGGCUGUCACUUAUGGAUGGACCCGCGUCGCAUAAGCUAGUUGGUGAGGUAACGGCUCACCAAGGCAACGAUGCGUAGCCGGCCUGGGAGGGUGAUCGGCCACACUGGGACUGAGACCCGGCCCAGACUCCUACGGGAGGCAGCAGUAGGGAAUCUUCCGCAAUGGACGGAAGUCUGACGGAGCAACGCCGCGUGAGUGAUGAAGGCUUUCGGGUCGUAAAACUCUGUUGUUAGGGAAGAACAAGUGCUAGUUGAAUAAGCUGGCACCUUGACGGUACCUAGCCAGAAAGCCACGGCUAACUACGUGCCAGCAGCCGCCGUAA